CAUUUCAUUUUAGAAUAUUGUGGACGGUACAAACUUUGAGACGGAAAUUGCUGCUAGGUGCUAAGUCGCUUGAAACACAGAAUAUGGUGGACGGUACAAACUUUGAGACGGAAAUUGCUGCUAGGUGCUAAUUCACUUGAAACACAGAGAAUGUUACACAGCUACACUUGAGGGAAGUUACUCCCAGAUGAUAAAUGGCUUGAAACGCAGGUUAGAACAUAUUUUGAUUAUAUGAAUUUUUAGUCCACUAAUUUGAUGACCACG